CAAAACUCCGGUGGUACGGGAUGGGCCCGCGUCUGAUUAGCUGGUUGGCGGGGUAACGGCCCACCAAGGCGACGAUCAGUAGCCGGCCUGAGAGGGCGGCCGGCCACAUUGGGACUGAGACACGGCCCAGACUCCUGCGGGAGGCAGCAGUGGGGAAUAUUGCACAAUGGGGGAAACCCUGAUGCAGCGACGCCGCGUGGGCGAGGAAGUACCUCGGUAUGUAAAGCCCUAUCAGCAGGGAAGAAACAGGACAGUACCUGACUAAGAAGCCCCGGCUAACUACGUGCCAGCAGCCGCGGUAAUACGUAGGGGGCAAGCGUUAUCCGGAUUCACUGGGCGUAAAGGGAGCGCAGGCGGCAUGGCAAGUCUGAUGUGAAAACCCGGGGCCCAACCCCGGGAGUGCAUUGGAAACUGCCAGGCUGGAGUGUCGGAGGGGUAAGCGGAAUUCCUAGUGUAGCGGUGAAAUGCGUAGAUAUUAGGAGGAACACCAGUGGCGAAGGCGGCUUACUGGACGACUACUGACGCUGAGGCUCGAAAGCGUGGGGAGCAAACAGGAUUAGAUACCCUGGUAGUCCACGCCGUAA
rnacentral:rRNA from 1 species